AAUAGAUACCCAGGUAGUCCACGCCGUAAACGAUGUCGACUCGGAGGUUGUGCCCUUGAGGCGUGGCUUCCGGAGCUAACGCGUUAAGUCGACCGCCUGGGGAGUACGGCCGCAAGGUUAAAACUCAAAUGAAUUGACGGGGGCCCGCACAAGCGGUGGAGCAUGUGGUUUAAUUCGAUGCAACGCGAAGAACCUUACCUACUCUUGACAUCCAGAGAACUUAGCAGAGAUGCUUUGGUGCCUUCGGGAACUCUGAGACAGGUGCUGCAUGGCUGUCGUCAGCUCGUGUUGUGAAAUGUUGGGUUAAGUCCCGCAACGAGCGCAACCCUUAUCCUUUGUUGCCAGCGAUUCGGUCGGGAACUCAAAGGAGACUGCCAGUGAUAAACUGGAGGAAGGUGGGGAUGACGUCAAGUCAUCAUGGCCCUUACGAGUAGGGCUACACACGUGCUACAAUGGCAUAUACAAAGAGAAGCGACCUCGCGAGAGCAAGCGGACCUCAUAAAGUAUGUCGUAGUCCGGAUUGG
rnacentral:rRNA from 1 species